UACGGGGGGGGGCAAGCGUUGUUCGGAAUUACUGGGCGUAAAGGGCUCGUAGGCGGCCAACUAAGUCAGACGUGAAAUCCCCAGGCUCAACCUGGGAACUGCGUCGGAUACUGGAUGGCUUGAAUUCGGGAGAGGGAUGCAGAAUUCCAGGUGUAGCGGUGAAAUGCGUAGAUAUCUGGAGGAAUACCGGUGGCGAAGGCGGCAUCCUGGACCAUUACUGACGCUGAGGCGCGAAAGCUAGGGGAGCAAACGGG
rnacentral:rRNA from 1 species